GAUGAAGAACGUAGUGAAAUGCGAUAAGUAAUGUGAAUUGCAGAAUUCAGUGAAUCAUCGAAUCUUUGAACGCACAUUGCGCCCCCUGGUAUUCCGGGGGGCAUGCCUCUUCCAGCGUCAUUUCACCCCUCAAGCUCUGCUUGGUUUUGGGCCGCGCCGGCAACGGCGGGCCUCGAAAAUAGUGGCGACGCCAUCGUGCUCUCAGCGUAGUAAUUCUUCUCGCUGUUGGGUCCCGGUGGUCGUCCGCCAGCAACCCCCAACUUUCUUAAGUUUGACCUGGGAUGAGGUAGGGAUACCCGCUGAACUUAAGCAUAUCAAUAAGCGGAGGA
rnacentral:misc_RNA from 1 species